GCGGGCAAGGGGCACAGGGAGAAAAAUGCUCAUAAUCUAAAGGAACGCUAAACCCUGCAGCCUUCAUUCGCAAAACCCUCACCGGUCGGCGGUGGUACCUUGGGAAUGGAGAUGACAAAUUGAUUGAUAGAUUGAUCCAUCUUCAUCUCUUUCCUUCACUCAUUCAUCAAUGUUAGCUGCUACUCGAAGACUCUGUUGUUUCAGUAGGGUUUCCAAUCUCCUCCUAUCCAAUCGUUACAACAAUGUCAUAUUGUUAACAGAUUUGAAUUCAGAGACUGUUCCAUGCAAUGUGGCCCAUAGAAUUAUUCAUGGUGAAUAUGUACUGCCUUCUACAUCUAAGGUUGUUGGUCCUUUCAAUGGGUUGUUUCGUUGUAUGUCAACAUCGAAGGGAAGAAGUAUGCGAAGUAAGGUAGAGAGGAGAAUGAGGAAGGAGUCUGGUAAAACCUUAAGGGAGAUUAGAAGAGCGAAGAAAAUAAAGAAAAAGUUGAUGACAGAGGAAGAACGGCUCCUUUACAACCUCAAAAGAGCCAAGAAGAAAGUAGCAUUACUUUUGCAACAACUCAAGAAGUAUGAGCUACCAGAGUUGCCUCCUCCUCGUCACGACCCUGAGCUCUUGACCGCUGAACAGCUUCAAGCUUACAAAAAAAUAGGCUUUAGAAACAAAAAUUAUGUCCCAGUUGGAGUUCGUGGAGUGUUUGGAGGAGUGGUCCAGAAUAUGCAUCUCCACUGGAAGUUUCAUGAGACAGUACAAGUGUGUUGUGAUAACUUUCCCAAAGAAAAAAUCAAGGAAAUGGCAACCAUGCUUGCAAGACUUAGCGGUGGAAUUGUAGUGAAUGUACAUAACGUGAAAACAAUCAUCAUGUUUCGUGGAAGAAACUAUCGUCAACCUAAAAAUUUGAUACCGAUCAACACGCUUACUAAGAGAAAGGCAUUAUUCAAGGCCAGAUUUGAACAAGCUCUCGACUCUCAGAAGCUUAACAUAAAGAAGAUAGAACAAGAGCUCAGGCGUAAGGGUAUAAACCCAGAGGAUCCUGUUGCUAUGGCCAGCAUACAGAGAGUAGCUUCAACAUUUUUUAAUGCCAUUGACAAAAAAGAAGGUACCCCAUAUGUCUUCUAUGGUGAUAAGCAGGCAGUGACAGAGACCAAGACCAAGACUAACAUGGAAGAAGCAGAAUCUAAUAGUGAUAGUGACCAGGAAGAGUUAGACCGAUUCAUAGCUGAGAUCGAGGAUGCAGCAGACCGAGAUUGGGUUGCCGAGGAAGCGGCAGAGAAGGAAGAACUUAGCCAAAUUAGGUAUAGGAAUAGAGAAGAGCAUGGUGGGAGAUUCAGAAAAUCUGAUAUGCGUUAUUCUGACGAUGAGAUGGAUAAGCCAAGAGUUUGGAGGCAGAGAGAUAGUAAGCAAAGAUUGUACAAUAGUGAAGAGGAAGAUGGUGAUCAUGAAAACGAGGAGGAAUGGGAUUCUGAUGAUGGUCAAAAUGCUAAUAAUAGCUAUACAGAUGAUUCUGAUGGAGCUCAUCAGAUCAUCAAGGCAACUCGACGAACUGGAGGGAGGCAUGAUUUGGCCAAAACUAAAAGUUUUGAGAGAAACGUUCAGCCCUUUGCAAGAAGGAUGGAUAAAGAAGAUUCUGAGCCUGAAAACAUGCUCAGUGAUCUUGAAAGUGCUAUGUGGCAAUCAGACGAGGAGGAAGAAGAUGACAUGAAUAUUUCAAGGAAUGUGGAUCAAGAUUACAAGCACAAUGAAGAUCAUUUGCAUCACAUGAAGAAAGAUCGAAACAAUAGGCACAAUGACUAUGACAGUAGCGUCGAUGAACCUGAUGAAGCUUACGAUAAGUUUAAACACACAUACACCAAACAAAAGCAGGAUAGAAUGAGCAAAUCCAAAAGUAGUUACAACUCUGUCUCACAAGAUACUGAUUCAGAAAAAGCAAUGUGGGAUUCAGACGAUGAAGACGAAAGGGGACAUUGAGACCCCAGAGAUAUGAUUACUGGAGCGGUAGUGAGGAAGAUGAUUCUCGUUGAAAGAAGAUAAAUAAACAAUCAAACGGAUGAAAUUUAUGGGAAAAAACAAACUUGGUACAAAAAUCAUCUUCAGUUGCUUGUUCACUGUCUUAUUGUGUGUGAGAGGAGAGGCAAUUCUUGUUUAUACAUUUUUGUUUCUGAAGACUCUGGUAGUUGUUCAAGAAAAUGUCGCUUCAAUGACCAAAGCCCAGCGCCGAGGUACUAGUGCUAGUAAAAAUUCUACCUUUCCAAGAGAAGAGAAAGUGGAAAUUAGCCGUAGAUUGAGCUGAGAAUGGACCAAAGAGGCCAUCUAAUCCCAUAGAAUUAAGCUGAAAUGAAGAAUAUUAAGAUCCAAAAUAAAAGAGAGAAAAAUGAGUGCUUGAAGGGUGAGGUUUCUUAAUCCAGUUAUGGUCAGAAUGUUUGUGGUCUUUGUUUAGUCUCAGUGAAUUUUAAUAUUUCCCUUCCCUGCCUUUUAGUUAUGCUAUGUUUUACGAUUAUUAACCCUCUUA